CCUACGGGUGGCAGCAGUGGGGAAUUUUGGACAAUGGGCGCAAGCCUGAUCCAGCUAUUCCGCGUGUGGGAUGACGGCCUUCGGGUUGUAAACCACUAUUGUAGAGAACGAAAAUUCUGUUGAUAAUACCGAUAGAUGAUGCCGGUACUCUACGAAUAAGCACCGGCUAACUACGUGCCAGCAGCAGCGGUAAUACGAAGGGUGCGAGCGUUAAUCGGAAUUACUGGGCGUAAAGGGUGUGCAGGCGGUGUGGCAAGAUGGAUGUGAAAGCCCCGGGCUUAACCUGGGAAAGCCAUACAUGACUGCAAGGCUAGAGUGCGUCAGAGGGGAGUGGAAUUCCGAGUGUAGCAGUGAAAUGCGUAGAUAUUUGGAAGAACACCGAUGGCGAAGGCAGCCCGCUGGGACACAACUGACGCUCAUACACGAAAGCAUGGGGAGCAAACAGGAUUAGAUACCCGUGUAGUC
rnacentral:rRNA from 1 species